UGAUCGAGAUACCUCAAUGUCCCGGCUCCGCCGGGCAUGGAGCGACCCCAGAUUGUCCGCCUCUUAAUCCCUAAGAAUGAAGCCUAUUGCUACCGGCUGCCCCUUCAGUGUCUGAUGGGGACUCUGACAAGUUAAUGAAAAGCUCUAGGUGCAGCUUUAGAUUUGCACGCCGUUCCCGCCCUCCCUUUCAAGUCAGGACCUUUCCGUUGAAAUGUGAAUGUAGUCUAAAGGUGAUCUAGCGCAAAGAUAAUGUACUUAAUCCUCGAUUAUACUUUAGAAAUCACGGCCACGAUAAAUACUGAGCAGAAAUCAGAACGAACUUUGGGGGCAGGUGGAAUGUGAGUAGUACAGGAAUCUUAAAUUUAGUUUUUCCGAUUUUCAAUUUGCAGCCGGUUGGGAGGGCACGGCCGUGUGGAACUGAGAGUAGAUUACAGUGAGAGAAACGAAUUUGUUCGAGGGAGUGGAGAAAAUAGUUUUUCAGUCGUUCCUGGUUCACAACAAAUGGAAAUUACUCCAGCCCUUCUUGCCUCACUUCCGCUUUCUGAAACUCAGACUGCGUAGAGACAUUAAAGUUAAAGAAAAGACCAUAUCGAGAACAAUGGACACAGUAAAUGAUGUGUGGAGGCGCAGAAAAACCUCUGUCGGAUGUGGAAGGAUCCUUUGGGGCCUUCGAUGGAGGAAUCAGUUUGACGAUUUUGAAUCAUGUUUGAUAUGCUAUAUCCUUUAAGCAAGG